rnacentral:rRNA from 1 species
ACGGAAGGCAGCAGUGGGGACUAUUGGGCAAUGGAGGAAACUCUGAUCCAGCGACGCCGCGUGAGUGAAGAAGUAUUUCGGUAUGUAAAGCUCUAUCAGCAGGAAAGAUAAUGACGGUACCUGACUAAGAAGCACCGGCUAAAUACGUGCCAGCAGCCGCGGUAAUACGUAUGGUGCAAGCGUUAUCCGGAUUUACUGGGUGUAAAGGGAGCGUAGACGGCAUGGCAAGCCAGACGUGAAAUGCGGGGGCUCAACUCCUGAACUGCAUUUGGAACUGUCAAGCUAGAGUAUCGGAGAGGUAAGUGGAAUUCCUAGUGUAGCGGUGAAAUGCGUAGAUAUUAGGAGGAACACCAGUGGCGAAGGCGGCUUACUGGACGAUAACUGACGUUGAGGCUCGAAAGCGUGGGGAGCAAACAGGAUUAGAUACCCUGGUA